AAUCUGGACUAUAUAGUGAGUUCUAGGACAGCCAGGGCUACACACAGAAAUCCAGCUACACAGAGAAACCCUUUCUUGAUAAAACAAAACAAAACAACAAGAAGGAAAAAAAGAAAUACUGUAGUACACACACAUACCAGACAGUGGCCAUCUGUAUCAAUUUCAUGCCAUCACUGCAGCACAUCCUUUGGUGGAUUGAAAACUGUAUCAAUACAGUUCUGGAGAUUAGAAUUCCCAAACUAGCUUGACUGAACUAAAAUCAGGGUGUUGUUUCAGCUGUGCUUCCAAAGCUCUCAGGAUUUCCUUGCCCUUCCCAGCAUCUAGAAGCAUCCAUGGCUGGGCAAGUCUGUCUUGGUAUGGCUGGUCACUGAUUGAACUACUUGCUACUUUCAUUUGCAGAUCCAGUGUAGUUCACAUAUCAACAGCCUUAACUUAACCACUCAGGAAAAGUCCCUUUACUGUGUUUCAGGCACAGCAUCCACUGGCUGGAAGGUGUGAGCAUCUCUGAGGGUAAGAGAACAUUGUUCUGCCUCUCCCAUCCUCCUGCUGCUGGUACUCAAAGGAGAUCAUACAAAAUCACCCAGUCUAUAAAGUGUUUGGUUUAGCUUAUAUAUUUUUUAAGUUAAUUUUUUUCCCCUAACAACCCAGCUCAGAGGACUUGUUUGUGCUGGAUGCAUAUCCUUGACCAGAGAUGCCCAGCUAAAGUGAGUCAUGGGUAGCUCUGGCCCUCAGAUAGGACAUCCAGGGUAACCCAUCCUGCCUUGUUGCCUCUACUCUGUGGCUGUGUGCUUGUGGCUUAAAUUGACACAAUUUUAUGAAAGGCAAAGGAGGCGCUUCCAACACUUACAGAGUGAGGAGACUGCGAAAGUUCCUCCUGCCAUGAUGUAGAGGGAAAGCCACAGUAGUUCAGGACUCUGGUAAACCUUCUCUAGGAAAUACGUGUGGUUCAUGAUUCUCAGGGAACUGACCUUGGAUGCUACAUCUUGCCCACGCAGCCUCAGACAGAGCUCCUGGCCCUCUUGAGCCAUUUCCAAGAAGGAGAGGGUUCACUUUUUAAUCAUACCCUGGGGGAUGUUUUCUUUUCUUUCCGAAAACUUUCCUUUAACUCCUUUCCAGGAGAGAAGGUUGUCUCCUACCCAGCUACCCAAGGUGCUGAUGGCCCUCUGUGAGGGUAGGGUCAGGGACAGCUGUGGCUCCUUGCUUCACCUGAAAUCACCAUGCUGAGCAGGGGCCCUGUAUGCUUCCUCCCCGAUGCCUUCUCCCUUCAAGUGCCCCUUGAGGAGACCGUCAGUCUCACGUGUUGGUUCUUACUGUGUGUCAGCCCCGUACCCUUCUACCUUGGUUCUGCUAACCUUGCAUCUAUUGGCUGGGCCUGUAGCUGUGUACAGAAGGAAGAGGUUGACUCUUCCAUGGGGACAAGCCAAAGUCCAACAGCUGUAACCUCAGUACAGGUUGGAGGACCAGUCUGUGGAUCUGCAAAGCAUAUAUGAAAAUUAUUUAUUUAAUGACAGAUAACAUCUUAUUCAUUUACUUUUAUAAAUAAACAAAUAUACC
rnacentral:lncRNA from 1 species